GACGUAGGGCGCGAGCGUUGUCCGGAUUUAUUGGGCGUAAAGAGCUCGUAGGCGGCUUGUCGCGUCGUCCGUGAAAACUUGGGGCUCAACCCCAAGCUUGCGGUCGAUACGGGCAGACUAGAGGUAUGCAGGGGAGAACGGAAUUCCUGGUGUAGCGGUGAAAUGCGCAGAUAUCAGGAGGAACACCGGUGGCGAAGGCGGUUCUCUGGGCAUGUCCUGACGCUGAGGAGCGAAAGUGUGGGGAGCGAACAGG
rnacentral:rRNA from 1 species